rnacentral:rRNA from 1 species
UCGCGGCCUAUCAGCUUGUUGGUGAGGUAAAGGCUCACCAAGGCGACGACGGGUAGCCGGCCUGAGAGGGUGACCGGCCACACUGGAACUGAGACACGGUCCAGACUCCUACGGGAGGCAGCAGUGGGGAAUAUUGCACAAUGGGCGAAAGCCUGAUGCAGCAACGCCGCGUGAGGGAUGAAGGCCUUCGGGUUGUAAACCUCUUUUAGCAGGGAAGAAGCGAAAGUGACGGUACCUGCAGAAAAAGCACCGGCUAACUACGUGCCAGCAGCCGCGGUAAUACGUAGGGUGCAAGCGUUGUCCGGAAUUAUUGGGCGUAAAGAGCUCGUAGGCGGUUUGUCGCGUCUGCUGUGAAAACUGGAAGCUCAACUUCCAGCCUGCAGUGGGUACGGGCAGACUAGAGUGCGGUAGGGGAGAACGGAAUUCCUGGUGUAGCGGUGGAAUGCGCAGAUAUCAGGAGGAACACCGAUGGCGAAGGCAGUUCUCUGGGCCGUUACUGACGCUGAGGAGCGAAAGCGUGGGGAGCGAACAGGAUUAGAUACCCUGGUAGUCCACGCCGUAAACGGUGGGUGCUAGCUGUGGGCCACAUUCCACGUGGUCCGUGACGAAGUUAACACAUUAAGCACCCCGCCUGGGGAGUACGG